GACGAACGCUGGCGGCGUGCUUAACACAUGCAAGUCGAACGGAAAGGCCCUGCUUUUGUGGGGUGCUCGAGUGGCGAACGGGUGAGUAACACGUGAGUAACCUGCCCUUGACUGUGGGAUAACUUCAGGAAACUGGGGCUAAUACCGGAUAGGAGCUCCUGCUGCAUGGUGGGGGUUGGAAAGUUUCGGCGGUUGGGGAUGGACUCGCGGCUUAUCAGCUUGAUGGUGGGGUAGUGGCUUACCAAGGCUUUGACGGGUAGCCGGCCUGAGAGGGUGACCGGACACGUUAGGACUGGGAUGAGACACAGACUCGUACGGGAGGCAGCAGAGGAGUAGAGUACACUGUGGGCUGAAGGCUGAUGUGACAACGCAGCGUGCGGGGAGACGGGAUGCGGGUUGGAAAGUGCAGUCGCCUGUGACGAGGCGUGAGUGACGGUACCGGGUGAAGAAGCACCGGCUAACUACGUG
rnacentral:rRNA from 1 species